CUUGAAAAAUAAAAAUUUGAGAGUUGAGAGUUGAAUUGGACUCGGAUUUGAAAAGAAAACACAUAUAUGGACUGGUGGUGUUAUAGGUAGUCAGGAUCUAUCCUUGGACCAGGGUUUUGAUCGGGCGAGCCCGGGAUUGACUUUUGUUGAUUUUUGGUGAAUUGUGUAAGAUCAUAGCUUUAUUUAUCGUAAUUGGUUUGUCUUGCAUUGUUUGAUGUUAUUAAGUCAUUUUUGGUUAGAUUUGAGCCGUGCAGAGGUAAAUUUUAGGGGAAAGCUAUUUUUAGGGUUGAUUUGCUUAAUUGAGGUAAGUAUCUUGUCUAACUUUGUAUGGGGAACUACCCUUUAAGAUUUGGGUUAAUUAUGUUAUUUGAAUUAUGUGGAAGACGUGUACAUGAGGUGACGACUGUGUUCAAAGUAUUAUAUGUAGUAUUUUGACCGGUUUAGACUCUUAGGAUCUUUCAUGCAUUUAAUUGGUAUUGUCAUACCAUGCUAUAUCUUCCAUUGUUAAAUUACUCUUACAUGCUUUACUUGAUGUUUUUAACACAUGUCCUUUAUUUUAUUGUCAAACUUGCUCUUAUAUCCCUUAAUUGACGUUAUUACCUCUCUUAUUAUCAUGUGCCUCUUUUAUUCCACGAUGUCUCUUUGUGUUGAACUAUUCUUAUCAAUUUAGACGUAGUUAGUUCAUAUUAUCUCUUUCAUCUUAAGCUUAUGUUACACAUUUAAAUUAGAAAUUGUCAUUUUGUAGGAAUACCUUCAUUUUGAGUUAUUGAAGUUGAAGUCGUAAAGGCUAUUAACACCUUGAGGUUGAAGUUGUUGAUUAUUGAGAUAUUUUUUCUUUUUGAGUAUUUCUCCUUCAUUUGUUAUUUUGAGAUUCGUGUACACAUUAUGGUUGAGUCGUGGACUAUAUGUUUUGGUAACAUUGGUAUUGUGAUUUUUGCAAUGUUGUGGCAUUCGAGUACGUGUGGUGUGAGUUGAUUAUUGUGUUGUGUUAUCGAUGCGCAUGCGGCGGUAUAAGGAUAAGGGUUAAUAUGCAUGCAUCGAGAUAAGGUGGGAUUUAUUUUCGUGUUACUAGUAAGGGAAUUACUUGAAGCCACGCGGCGAGAUAAUGGGGGCUAAAGCGAGUGUAACUAUUUUGGAAAAAUAUUUUCAAAAAUACAAAUGCAAGGUUCACGUGGCGAUACAAAGAAGAUUGUGAUUCAGACUCGUGAAAUGUGAAUAUGAGGCGUGGUACCUCGAUCAAGGUACAUCUGCUCGUGUCUAACACUAGUGAUUGAUCAAUUAUCUCGGAAACUUCAAGAUGAUGAUGAUACGCACUGCUGGAUCCGAUGAUCAUACACCCGUGCUAGAGCCACGAGAGGCCAGGGACGGGGUAGAGGCCGAGGAGGGGAACAUGGUGCAGCUAGAGAACCUGCUCGAGCAGCGACUAAGGAGCCACUAGUAGCAUUGAUUGGGGGACAGGCACCCAAGGCGCCUGUUAUCACCCCUGCCCUUCAGGAGACCCUAGCACACGUUUUGAGCAUGUUCGGUACUCUAGCCUUGGCAGGAUUGAUCAGGCCCCUGGAGUUAUGCCAGUGCAGCUUGUUUUUACGGUUCAACCCGAGGUCAAGGCAGAGGCAUCUGAGGAGGAGCAGCUGAGACUUAAGAGGUUCAAGAAGUAUCACCCUUAUACUUACAAUUGUAUAGUUAUUGAGGAUGUGUAGGGUUUUUUGGAUAAGCGCCACCGUAUUCCCCGCACCAUUGAUAUUAUAUUGUGGAGACAAGCGCAGUUGCCUUUAA